UUAGGUGUUAUGUGUGUUUUAUGUUAUAUACUUGUUUUUUGCCAUGUAGGCUUGGAUCUGGAACUUGAAUCAAGCCCAGAUCAUGAGUAGAUUAAAAGUUAUAAGCUGUCAAAGGUCGUUGAGCGACCAUGACCGAACGAAUCUGGGAAACCCAGAUUACCCAGAAAGGGUCUGACAACGUUUUUGUGGCCUUUUGAUCUUGCAAUUGUUAAGGAUUCUGACCUUGUUGUUGUAUUAGAGUUGUUGUAUGAAAUGCCGACUACACAUACAAGUCAUUAGGACACUUAAAUCAUGAUCAGGUUGAACGAUAAUCAAUGUCAAACUUGGGAUGACCAUCUGCCGAAGAACAUUUCUGGAAAACCUAGAAAUGUUCAAAGACAGUCUUUCUGGCCUACUUUGAUCGGCUCAGAUUUUAAAAUUUGUGGUGUUUUUAAGUUAAUAUUAUGUGAUAUUAUGGUACCUUAACAUCAGGACUGCAAGCUAAAACCUCUAGAUCACACAAACUAGACACAUACUGCAAAUUAUGAAGCUUCAAAGUAGGGACCUUCGCACUGUUUGAGUUUCUGGGCAGCCCAGAAACUCAAGAACACCUCUGACAAGAUGUUUGGUAGCUUAGAUCUUGCAGAUUUGACAUGUUUUGGCUAUGAAACUUGCUGGAG
rnacentral:lncRNA from 1 species